CCUACGGGAUGCAUCCGUGAGGAAUAUUGGUCAAUGGGCUUACGCCUGAACCAUCCCAGUCGCGUGAGGGAAGACUGCCCUAUGGGUUGUAAACCUCUUUUGUCAGGGAGCAACGCCGGCUACGUGUAGCCGGACUGAGAGUAACUUAAGGAAAAGCAUCGGCUAACUACGUGCCAGCAGCCGCGGUAAUACGGAGGAUGCGAGCGGUAUCCGGAUUUAUUGGGUUUAAAGGGUGCGUAGGCGGAAUGCCAAGUCAGCGGUAAAAUCGCGGGGCUCAACCUCGCUCCGCCGUUGCAACGGGCGUUAGUGAGUGGGCGAGAAGUAUGCGGAAGGAGUGGUGUAGCGGUGAAAGGCAUAGAUAUCACGCAGAACUCCGAUUGCGAAGGCAGCAUACCGGCGCCCAACUGACGCUGAAGCACGAAAGCGUGGGUAUCGAACAGGAUUAGAUACCCGUGUAGUC
rnacentral:rRNA from 1 species